rnacentral:rRNA from 1 species
GACAGAGGGUGCAAGCGUUGUUCGGAAUUAUUGGGCGUAAAGGGCGCGUAGGCGGCCUCGUAAGUCAGAUGUGAAAGCCCAGGGCUUAACCCUGGAAGUGCAUCUGAUACUGCUUGGCUCGAGUCUCGGAGAGGAUGGUGGAAUUCCCAGUGUAGAGGUGAAAUUCGUAGAUAUUGGGAGGAACACCGGUGGCGAAGGCGACCAUCUGGACGAAGACUGACGCUGAGGCGCGAAAGCGUGGGGAGCAAACAGG